GACGAACGCUGGCGGCGUGCCUAAUACAUGCAAGUAGAACGCAGUUGCGAACGGGUGAGUAACGCGUAGGUCACUUCCUCAUCGCAGGGGAUAACUAUUGGAAACCAUAGCUAAUACCGCCUAAUGUGGGAUAGACCUGCGUUGGAUUAGCUAGUUGGUGAGGUAAAAGCUGACCAAGGCGACGAUACAGAGCCGGCCUGAGAGGGUGAUCGGCCCACACGGGAAUGAGAAAAGGGCCAAGCCUCUAAGGGGGGGAACAGUAGGGAAUCUUCGGCAAUGGGCGGAAGUCUGAACGAACAACGGCGCCUGAGUGGAGGAGGGUUUCGGAUCGGAAAGCUCUGUUGUUAGAGAAGCGGUAACUAACCAGAAAGGGACGGCUAACUACGUGCCAGCAGCCGCGGUAAUAC
rnacentral:rRNA from 1 species